rnacentral:rRNA from 1 species
CCCUUAGAUGUCCGGGGCCGCACGCGCGCUACACUGAAGGAAUCAGCGUGGCUUUCUCCCUGACCCGAAAGGGUUGGGAAACCCGUUGAAUCUCCUUCGUGAUAGGGAUUGGGGCUUGAAAUUGUUCCCCAUGAACGAGGAAUUCCCAGUAAGCGCGAGUCAUAAGCUCGCGUUGAUUACGUCCCUGCCCUUUGUACACACCGCCCGUCGCUACUACCGAUUGAACGGUUUAGUGAGGGCCUCGGACUGGUCUCGGCCCGCUCUUUACCGGGCGGCGCCGUUGGUCGAGAAGACGCUCGAACUUGAUCGUUUAGAGGAAGUAAAAGACGUAACA